ensembl:lncRNA
CACCAAACUCGUGUGGUUAAUUGUCCAAGAAUAGAGCCACAGUCAUGCUCUUUCUCUUACCCAUUGAGAGGUGUCAUCUCCUUUAAUGACUUGCUCUUGAUUGGCAGCCUCCUCAUCUGGCAUCCUUUUUUCUGACUGAAAACUUGUUGUCACUUCUGUUUUACCAUCAAAUCUUUCCAACAGAACCUGGCUUUCUGGCUCAAAGGGUAGAUCUUCAGUCAAAUGUCCAGUUAUAUUGCAACUGUCCAACUCCUCAUCAGAGUAAAGAGAUUGUGGACUCAUUGGCCUUGGGCUGUCGUCAAUCCAAUACUCAACAGGUAAAGCUACAAAUUCAGAGUCGGAAGUCGCGGACACAGGUGAGACUGACCUGAGUAAAGGACUACCCUCCAUGAAAUAGGAUGACAGUAUUCUCAUAAAUUCAGGUACAGGUGAAUCAGUCAUUAGGCUUCUGUGUUCACUAGACUCUGGAGAGGAAUGCCUGUCGCAAUCUGACAUGCUCAAAUGUGCUGUUAGCUCAAGAUCUGAGUACGACGCCUCAGACUCUGGUGAUGAUGACCGAAAAGAUUUGGCAAAAGGGGAAUAUUCCUCCGUCAACUCCAAUGUGAAUUGAGGAACUGGGGAGUCUGGGGAUAGAUGCCUGUAUUUACUUAUUUCUAUCAGUGAAUCUGGGGAAGAUGCUCUAUUGUCAUCAAGGUGCAUUGCUGAUUCCAUGGACAUUGUGGUAUCUUCUGUGAGUGACUCAGGAGACAAAGGCCGGUCUUUUUCAUCUAAAUUCUCUGAAUGUGUAGAUUCUGGAGAUGAGGUUCUGCAUUCUAUAUGGUGAGGUGAAUCAUCUUGAAGCAUGUAUUCAAUAUCAGAUCCUAAGGGUUCUGGUGAAACUGAUUCAGAUCUCAUAAAUGUGUCACACUGUGGAAUAGCUGUUCUAAGAUCUGGUACAGGGGAAUCUGGGGACAGAGGUCUCAGCUCAUUCACUGAUGUAACUGAUUCUGGCGAAUAGGCUCUUUCUACUAACAUGGCGGAUUCAUGGGAUUCUUGAUAUUCAGACAAUAAGUCAGAGGCAAACAUAUAUGCACUGCGAUUAUUUAUGUCUAGUUCCUCAUCUGAAUAAGUAGAUUGUGGGCUAGUUAGUCUUGGCCUGUGAUCUGUCCAAUAAUGAACAGGUAAAGCUAUAAAUUCUGAGUCAGAGGAGAAUGAAACAGGGGAAGAUGAUCUAUUUAAAGCACCCCUUUCCAUAAAAUAGGAAGACAGUAUUCUCAUGAAUUCUGGCACAGGUGAAUCUACCAUAAGGUGUCUGUAUGUACUGACAGAGUCUGUAGAUUCUAGGGAGGAAGGCCUCUCAUAAUCAGCGAUAUCUGAAGGGCCUGUUUCAUCAAAGUCUGAAUAUGAGGCCUCGGACACAGGAGACAAUGGCCUAUAGUACAGGGUAUAUUGUUCUAUUUGGUCUACUGUAAACUGUGGGAUAGGGGAGUCUGGGCUUAGGGGUCUCUGGUCACUGUUUUCAGGCAGGGAUUCUGGGGAAGAUGUUCUGCCAGCCAUGUUCAUUGCUGAUUCUAAUGACAUAGGGCUGAAUUCCGAAAUAGACUCUGGAGAUAAUGGUCGGUCUUUUUCAUCUUCUGAUUGUAUGGAAUCAGGGGAUGACCCUCGACAAUCUACUUGGGACUCACUAUCGGGCUGAAAGUACUCUACAUCAGAGCCUAUUGAUACAGGUGAAACUGAUAUUGACCUUAAAAUCGUCAUGAAUUCUGAGUUUAACGUCUUAAAUUCAGGCAAAGGAGAAUCUGGCAACACCCCGUUAGAUGCAGUAGAGUCAGGGGAGGAGGUUCUCUCAUAACUAACUCUUCCUGAUGUAACUGUUAGUUCAUAGUCUGAGUGAGAAGCCUCAGAUUCGGGAGAAGAUGUCCUACAGUGAGGGAUAUACUCUUCCAGGGAGUUAACUGUAAAUUGGGGGAUAGGGGAAUCUGGAGUCAGGGGUCUGUGCUCACUGUGUUCAGGCAGAGAAUCUGGAGACGAUGUUCUUUGUUCUACCAUGCACAUUGCUAAAUCUAAUGACAUAGCUGUGUAUUCUGAUAGAGACUCAGGUGACAGUGGUCGGUCUAGAUCAACAUCCUCUGAUUGUAUGGAAUCUGGAGAUGAGCCUCUACAUUCUACUAAGAACUCAUUAUCUGACAGCAUGUAGUCCUCAUCAGAUUCUUGAGGUUCAGAUGAAACUGACACUGAUCUCAAAACAGUUUGUGGGAAAACUGUCCUAAAUUCAGGUACAGGUGAAUCAGGAGAUAACGUUCUGAACCCUCUUUCUGAUGCAAUGGAGUCAAGGGAGGAAGCUCUCUCAUAACUAACCCUUCCUGAUGUCACUGUAAAUUCAUAAUCUGAGUGAGAAGCUUCAGAUUCAGGUGAGGAUAACCUAAAGUGACAGGUAUAAUCUUCUAUGGAGUUCACUGUAAAUUGUGGAAUUGGGGAGUCUGGCGACAGGUUUCUGUGCUCACUGUGUUCAGGCAGAGAGUCUGGGGAAGAUGUUCUUUGGUCUACCAUGUACAUUGCUGAUGUUAAUGACAUGGGUAUAUAUUCUGACACAGACUCGGGUGACAAUGAUCGAUCUUUUUCAUCUACAUCCUCUGAAUGCAUGGAAUCUGGAGAUAAUCCUCUACAUUCUAAUGGGCAGGAUUCAUUAUCUAGAAGCAACUCUUCU